rnacentral:rRNA from 1 species
UAAUACGUAGGGGGCGAGCGUUGCUCGGAAUUACUGGGCGUAAAGGGAGUGCAGGCGGCCGGUUAAGUCGAAGAUGAAAUCCCGAGGCUCAACUUCGGAACGGUCUUCGAUACUGAUCGGCUUGAGGCUAAUUGAGGAGAGCGGAAUUCCCGGUGGAGCGGUGAAAUGCGUAGAUAUCGGGAGGAACACCAGAGGCGAAGGCGGCUCUCUAAACUAGUCCUGACGCUGAGACUCGAAAGCUAGGGGAGCAAACGGG